rnacentral:rRNA from 1 species
UAGGGAAUCUUCGGCAAUGGGGGGAACCCUGACCGAGCAACGCCGCGUGAGUGAAGAAGGUUUUCGGAUCGUAAAGCUCUGUUGUUAAGGAAGAACGAGUGUGAGAAUGGAAAGUUCAUGCUGUGACGGUACUUAACCAAAAAGCCCCGGCUAACUACGUGCCAGCAGCCGCGGUAAUACGUAGGGGGCUAGCGUUGUCCGGAAUCACUGGGCGUAAAGGGUUCGCAGGCGGAAUAACAAGUCAGAUGUGAAAGGCAUGGGCUCAACCCAUGUAAGCAUUUGAAACUGUAAUUCUUGAGAAGUGGAGAGGUAAGUGGAAUUCCUAGUGUAGCGGAGAAAUGCGUAGAUAUUAGGAGGAAUACCUGUGGCGAAGGCGACUUACUGGACACAAAUCUGACGCUGAGGAACGAAAGCGUGGGUAGCAAACAGG